CAUGGCUCAGAGUGAACGCUGGCGGCGUGCUUAACACAUGCAAGUCGAACGGAGAGAAAGAAGUUUACUUUUUUCUCUUAGUGGCGCACGGGUGAGUAAUGUAUAGCUAACAUGCCCUUUAGAGGGGGAUAACAGUUGGAAACGACUGCUAAUACCCCAUACUCCUUCUUUCUUAAUGAGAGUCGGGAAAGUUUUUCGCUAAAGGAUUGGGCUAUAUGGUAUCAGCUUGUUGGUGAGGUAACGGCUCACCAAGGCUAUGACACCUAGCUGGUCUGAGAGGAUGAUCAGCCACACUGGAACUGAGACACGGUCCAGACUCCUACGGGAGGCAGCAGUGGGGAAUAUUACACAAUGGAGGAAACUCUGAUGUAGCAACGCCGCGUGGAGGAUGACACAUUUCGGAGCGUAAACUCC
rnacentral:rRNA from 1 species